GACGAACGCUGGCGGCGUGCCUAAUACAUGCAAGUCGAACGCACAGUUUAUACCGUAGCUUGCUACACCAUAGACUGUGAGUUGCGAACGGGUGAGUAACGCGUAGGUAACCUGCCUGGUAGCGGGGGAUAACUAUUGGAAACGAUAGCUAAUACCGCAUAAUAUUAAUUAUUGCAUGAUAAUUAAUUGAAAGGUGCAAUUGCACCACUACCAGAUGGACCUGCGUUGUAUUAGCUAGUAGGUGAGGUAACGGCUCACCUAGGCGACGAUACAUAGCCGAGCUGAGAGGGUGAUCGGCCACACUGGGACUGAGACACGGCCCAGACUCCUACGGGAGGCAGCAGGAGGGAAUCUUCGGCAAUGGACGAAAGUCUGAACGAGCAACGCCGCGUGAGUGAAGAAGGGUUUCGGAUCGGAAAGCUCUGUUGUAAGAGAAGAACGGGUGUGAGAGUGGAAAGUUCACACUGUGACGGUAUCUUACCAGAAAGAGACGGCUAACUACGUG
rnacentral:rRNA from 1 species